rnacentral:rRNA from 1 species
AGUGAACGCUGGCGGUAGGCCUAACACAUGCCAGUCGAACGGCAGCACAGUAAGAGCUUGCUCUUACGGGUGGCGAGUGGCGGACGGGUGAGGAAUACAUCGGAAUCUACUUUUUCGAGGGGGAUAACGUAGGGAAACUUACGCUAAUACCGCAUACGACCUACGGGGGAAAGCAUGGGAUCUUCGGACCUUGCGCGAUUGAAUGAGCCGAUGUCGGAUUAGCUAGUUGGCGGGGUAAAGGCCCACCAAGGCGACGAUCCGUAGCUGGUCUGAGAGGAUGAUCAGCCACACUGGAACUGAGACACGGUCCAGACUCCUACGGGAGGCAGCAGUGGGGAAUAUUGGACAAUGGGCGCAAGCCUGAUCCAGCCAUACCGCGUGGGUGAAGAAGGCCUUCGGGUUGUAAAGCCCUUUUGUUGGGAAAGAAAAGCAGCAGGUUAAUACCCCGCUGUUCUGACGGUACCCAAAGAAUAAGCACCGGCUAACUUCGUG